UUCUCCCUACCGUUUGUGAUUGUUGGCGCGGCAGUGAGGUGUGGACUUCUGUAAGGAAAAAGUCAGCGCCCGGCCUCGGGGAGAGCUCUGCAGACUCGGACCAGCACCACCGGCUCUGAAUUUUCUAGAGUUUGAACCCUUCAGAUAGAAGAAGCCCAAGGAAGACUGAUCGGUUCUUACAUUUCUGAUAACAUGGGCCAAUUUCAGGAAUCAGUGACAUUCAGGGAUGUGGCCAUAGCCUUCGCUCAGCAGGAGUGGGAGAGUCUGGAUUCUGCUCAGAGGGUCUUGGACAGAGAUGUGAUGUUGGAGGACUAGGAACUUGGUCUCCCUGGGUCAUUCCUGUUCUAAACCACAUGUGAUUACCUUAUUGGAACAAUGGAAAGAGCCCUGGAUGAUAGUGAAGAAAGAUCAAGGAAGACAAUACACAGUGCAUUCUCUUGCUCCUGGACCACUUGCUUUAUUUGAGAGUAUCCAUCAUGAUCAUUCCUAUGGAGACACAUGUGGCAAGGAACUGAAGCUUCCUGCCAACAGAAAAGACCUUGGAAUUGCAUCUUGCAGCCUCAGGCAAGUCUUCAGAGACUACAGCCCCAGUAGACAGCUUGCCUGCAGUUUCAUAGCGGAUAUUGAACUCUAACUGCCUACCUAAACUGCUCCCAGAUUAAUGUAAUUUUCCUGAAAAAAAUGUAAACAAAUAUGUAGUGACAGACAGCAGAUCAGUGGUUUCCUGCAGAUGGAUGAGUACAGAGGGAGAGAUUACAAAGGGCUCAAGAAAAAUCUUUAAUUUCAUAGGUAUAAACAUGUAUCAGAUUGUACAUGUU